rnacentral:hammerhead_ribozyme from 1 species
AUCCAGUUGAAGAGUUCCAAAUAGGACGAAAUGGUUGUCCGGGAU